ensembl:snRNA U5 U5 spliceosomal RNA
AUACUCUGGUAUCUCUUCAGAACUUAUAAAUCUUUUGCCUUUUACUAAAGAUUUCUGUGGAGAGGAACAAUUCUGAGUCUUAAUCCAAUUUUUUGAGUCUUGCUCUAGCAGGGC